UACGGAGGGCGCAAGCGUUGUUCGGAAUCAUUGGGCGUAAAGCGCGUGUAGGCGGCCAUUUAAGUCGGAUGUGAAAGCCCGGGGCCCAACCCCGGAACUGCAUUCGAUACUGAGUGGCUGGCGGCCCGGAGAGGAAGGCGGAAUUCCCGGUGUAGAGGUGAAAUUCGCAGAUAUCGGGAGGAACAUCAGUGGCGCAGGCGGCCUGCUGGCAGGUGCCUGAAGCUGAGACGCGAAAGCGUCGGGAGCAAUCAGG
rnacentral:rRNA from 1 species